rnacentral:lncRNA from 1 species
UGACCGGAUAUUUUUGACAGGGCCAUUUGGCGAUCGUACUUAUUUACCCAAGAAAUUCUGACGCUCUUUGACGUUAUUAUAGAAACUGCUUAGACGAAAGACUUUAACUCACGGCUUCAAGGUAUAUAUACGUUUAAAACAGAGAUACUUGCAAAUUCAUCGGUAGUUCUACUAAAGAUAAAUAAACUAUUAUAGUUUCCUUGACAACUUUGAAUUGACGAUGUCUGUGAGGAAACGUUGUGUAACAUUUGGACGAAUCGUCGUAUUUUUGGUGGAUUCUAACGCAAGAAAAUUGGUGACGUUUAUUGCAUUGAAGACGAAGAGAAUUUCAAACAGAUAUAGAAUAUAUUCGCCAUUAUGAUUUUUUAUAUCUUUAUAGAGUGAUUAAAGGGUAUUUUAGCCAGCUUCAUUUACUUUCGCUAGCAACAAAUAUAACUGGUUUUUCGUAUCUCUGCAUGAGGAGGAUGGUUUUGAAAUUUUGCUAGCUUCAUUCUUGAGAUAUACUGUAUUUAGUUAACAAUGUUUCACGUGAGAAUUACCUCGUCACAUAUUACAAAAUGACUUUUAAAAAAAUUUCAAGAUCUCGGGAUAUACAUCGAAAUAAUAAAAUCGUGCAUAUGUGCAUGUUAUCAACAUACUAGAAAUAUAUGUUGUAUCUCGACAAAUUUAAAUCAAUUAUCUAUUAGAGUCAUAUAAAAGUUUUUCAGAUAUGCAAUUAUAGCUAUUAUAAGCCCUGUUUCAAACGUCGCGAUUCUCGUGUGCCGAACGCAUUAACAGGUCCGACCAAAGUGAAAUUGAGGUUUAUUGUUUGUCCGACCCGAGUGUAUUGGUGUCCGACCGAACUGUAGCUUUGUCCGACGUAAAUCAAAAUGCACCCUAGCCCAGGAUUAGAGGCUUGUAUGUUAAAUGGAAAAUCAGAGUACUAUUGUAUAUAAGGAAAUGUUGUUUUAACGUAGUCGAGCGCGGGGCGGCGAGCGAAAUGGUGAAGUGGAAAACGGGCUUAAGUUGUCGAAGUCUUUUUUAAUACUGCUGUUCUGGCAAGCAAGUUAAUUUGGCUUGAAAAUAAGUAUGAAAGAAACGAAGUAUUUAAUAUCUUUACAACAUUUACCGUUUAUUCAUUGUGUCGGCAUUCAGACUUAUUUUCGAGUCAAAACUGAACUGAAGGUCAUCGGACAUAUGUCCGACCCAAACUCAACGUCACCAGACAUUUUGUCAGACGGCCCUGGAAAAGAUAUUUUAAGGCCUGAUUAAAAACAAUAGAUAAUCAUGAUAUUUGCUGUGUUGGUGUAAUGUACUCAGGUGAAUAUGAUGCUUGUGAUGUUACUCUGAGUGUAUAUCCACACCGGGCAAGCUUGAAAAAUAUGCCUGACCACGGUGGGAAUCCAACCUAGACUCAAUUCCAAAACAACGCAUACUCGAACCGACCUGACCGCGUAGCUUGGCAGAGCAUUGGGCUAGUAUUCUAAAGGUCGUAGGUUCAAUUCCCAUCGUGGCCAGGCAUAUUUUUCAAGCCUGCCCGGUGUGGAUGUACACUCAGAGUAACAUCACAAGCAAAUAGAUAAUCAGCUGGUAUUGUUCCUAAUGCGUUCGGCACGUGAGAAGCGCGCCGUUUGAAACGGGCCUUAUUACUUUCAAUUUAUUUAUGGUGGAAUUUCAGUGUAUAGGCUAUAGCAAUUUAAUAUAAUUAUGAAACAAGC